GGUGGCUCAGUGGUAGAGCGCUUGCCUUGAAUGCAUGAAGCCCUGGGUUCGAUUCCUCAGCACCA
rfam:Dipodomys ordii contig_68371, whole genome shotgun sequence.